rnacentral:rRNA from 1 species
CAGUCGCCGCGGUAAUACAGAGGGUGCAAGCGUUAAUCGGAAUUACUGGGCGUAAAGCGCGCGUAGGUGGUUCGCCAAGUUGGAUGUGAAAUCCCCGGGCUCAACCUGGGAACUGCAUUUGUGACUGUAUAGCUAGAGUACGGCAGAGGGGGAUGGAAUUCCGCGUGUAGCAGUGAAAUGCGUAGAUAUGCGGAGGAACACCGAUGGCGAAGGCAAUCCCCUGGGCCUGUACUGACGCUCAUGCACGAAAGCGUGGGGAGCAAACAGGAUUAGAUACCCCCGUAGUCCCUGUCUCUUAUAC